rnacentral:tRNA from 1 species
GGCGGAUGUAGCCAAGUGGAUCAGGGCAGUGGAUUUGUGAAUCCACCA